rnacentral:lncRNA from 1 species
UAGAAGAACCGACACUAAUGAUUGAAUCUGACUCAGAUUUGAUGAGAUUAAACCUGGAGCCCAAUGAACAAACAUCCUUAAGGCGAUCCGAUAGAGUACCGCAUCAGGCGGACGGAUACUUAGGUUUCUUAGUCCGAGAUGGAGAUUCUGUCGAAUUCGAUGAGAAUGAUGAGGAUCCGAUCACCUACAUGGAUACAAUAUAGAGAUCUGACUCUGAUAAAUAGCUUGAAGCCA